rnacentral:rRNA from 1 species
GGGUGAGUAACACGUGGGUAACCUGCCCAUAAGACUGGGAUAACUCCGGGAAACCGGGGCUAAUACCGGAUAACAUUUUGAACUGCAUGGUUCGAAAUUGAAAGGCGGCUUCGGCUGUCACUUAUGGAUGGACCCGCGUCGCAUUAGCUAGUUGGUGAGGUAACGGCUCACCAAGGCAACGAUGCGUAGCCGACCUGAGAGGGUGAUCGGCCACACUGGGACUGAGACACGGCCCAG